GAUGAACGCUAGCGGCAGGCCUAACACAUGCAAGUCGAGGGGUAGAAGGAGCUUGCUCCUUUGAGACCGGCGCACGGGUGCGUAACGCGUAUGCAAUCUACCUUGUACAGGGGAAUAGCCCAGAGAAAUUUGGAUUAAUGCCCCAUAGUAUAUAACCUUCGCAUGUUGGUUAUAUUAAAGUUCCAACGGUACAAGAUGAGCAUGCGUCCCAUUAGUUAGUUGGUAAGGUAACGGCUUACCAAGACGAUGAUGGGUAGGGGUCCUGAGAGGGAGAUCCCCCACACUGGUACUGAGACACGGACCAGACUCCUACGGGAGGCAGCAGUGAGGAAUAUUGGUCAAUGGUCGCAAGACUGAACCAGCCAUGCCGCGUGCAGGAAGACGGUCCUAUGGAUUGUAAACUGCUUUUAUACAGGAAGAAACCCUCCCACGUGUGGGGGCUUGACGGUACUGUAGGAAUAAGGAUCGGCUAACUCCGUG
rnacentral:rRNA from 1 species